UGCAACCAUUUGCAAUGGGAACAACGUUGCUACAGGGUAGCGAACAGAGUCUUGCGAGAAUUGGUUGAGUCUUUAGCACCUCUAAGCCGCGAGAAUGCAGAAAUUACGAAGAAAACUGGCUGGUCUCUCUUCGGAUGUGUAUUAAAGAGCCUGACUAGUUAAAGGGAACCCUGUACUGCUGUUGCCAAUAUUAACGAGGGAGACUUCAGUUUGCAAAACGCACACCAUCCUGUCUCCCUGGAUGCACCUGUAGCAGAUGGGUUUCCAGUGUGGACUUGAGCCGUCUUACCGCAUCCGGGAUGGAGCUGGUUGAUCAGUUGAUCCGAUUGAAAACGGCAUGGACCUGUUCCACCCCUUGCUCCCCAUGAAAACCCAACCCAACCCCCCAACACCUUAUCCAGGGUAUGACAUGUUCUUCCAAGAGGUGCAUCUUGAUGGAUACAGACGAGGUUAUGCUCAGGUCUGUUUUUGCUGACAGGAGACUGGCUGCUGGAAUGCGGAUCUUGUCCAGCUUGACAGCUUUUAAUGCAGCCUGUAAGUCUUCACGAGGAUACUGUUUGGCCAUCACAGGAGGCAGC